AUUGAAAGCUGGAGGCAGGCCUAACACAUGCAAGUCGAGCGGAGCGGCGGACGGGUGAGUAAUGCCUAGGAAUCUGACUGGUAGUGGGGGCUAACGUCCGGAAACGGGAGCUAAUACUGCAUACUAUCAGAUGAGCCUAGGUCGGAUGAGCUAGUUGGGGGGGUAAAGGCCUACCAAGGCGACGAUCCGUAACUGGUCUGAGAGGAGGAGCAGUAACACUGGAACUGAGACACGGUCCAGACUCCUCAGAGAGGCAGCGGUGGGGAAUAUUGGACAAUGGGCGAAAGCCUGAUCCAGCCAUGCCGCGUGUGUGAAGAAGUUCGUCGGAUUGUAAAGCACUGUAAGUUGUGAGGCGUUACCAACAGAAUACGCACCGGCUAACUUCGUGCCAGCAGCCGCGGUAAUAC
rnacentral:rRNA from 1 species